rnacentral:rRNA from 1 species
UACAGAGGUCUCAAGCGUUGUUCGGAUUCAUUGGGCGUAAAGGGUGCGUCGGCGGCGCGGUAAGUCGGGUGUGAAAUCUCGGGGCUUAACUCCGAAACUGCAUUCGAUACUGCCGUGCUUGAGGACUGGAGAGGAGACUGGAAUUUACGGUGUAGCGGUGAAAUGCGUAGAUAUCGUAAGGAAGACCAGUGGCGAAGGCGGGUCUCUGGACAGUUCCUGACGCUGAGGCACGAAGGCCAGGGGAGCAAACGGG